rnacentral:misc_RNA from 1 species
GUGUUAGCUGCCCUAACGGGUAGCAAACCUCACCCUUGUGUAUUAUAUCUUUGUGGCUUUGGCACGCUCACGUGUGCCGAAAGACCUUAAAUUCUGAAUGUUAGUGUCGUCUGAGUACUAUCUAAUAGUUAAAACUUUCAACAACGGAUCUCUUGGUUCU